rnacentral:rRNA from 1 species
AUGUCAGCGCUUGAGAUUCUUCAGUUUGUUAUGGUUGUAGAUUGCUAUCCAAAUGUCUUUGUUGCCUAUCAGAUCUUCUUAAGAGUGCAUGUGACUAUAGCCUUAGCUGAAAGAAGUUUCUCUAAACUGAAACUACUGAAAAGUUAUUUGAGGUCAACUAUGUUGCAAGAUAGGUUAAAUGGCUUGGCUAUGUGCUGCAUUGAGAAGGAUAUCUUGGACAAUAUUGAUCUUGAUUGUGCCCUUAUUGACUUUGCAUCAAGAAACGUCCAAAGAAACUUUUUCUGA